rnacentral:misc_RNA from 1 species
UGGCUCUCGCAUCGAUGAAGAACGCAGCGAAAUGCGAUAAGUAAUGUGAAUUGCAGAAUUCAGUGAAUCAUCGAAUCUUUGAACGCACCUUGCACCCUUUGGUAUUCCGAAGGGUACACCUGUUUGAGUGUCAUUGUAAUCUCACUCUCUCUAUUUGAGAGUAGUGGAUCUGGACGUUUGCCGUAGUAGUAUGGCUCGUCUGAAAUACAUGAGUGUAACCUGUAGGAUCAGUGUUAUCCAAUGUGAUAUGUAUCUUCAUUGGAAUCAGUCGAAAGUCUGCGCUAUUCUUUAGGCUCUAUGCUACAAAUCGUCUUUGGACAAACUUUGACAAUUUGACCUCAAAUCAGGUGGGACUACCCGCUGA